UACGUAGGGACCGAGCGUUGUCCGGAUUCAUUGGGCGUAAAGAGCUCGUAGGCGGCCACUCAAGUCGAAUGUGAAACCUCGAGGCUCAACCUCGAGCCUGCAUUCGAUACUGGGCGGCUAGAGUCUGGUAGGGGGAUCUGGAAUUCCUGGUGUAGCGGUGGAAUGCGCAGAUAUCAGGAGGAACACCGGUGGCGAAGGCGGGAUCCUGGGCCAGUACUGACGCUGAGGAGCGAAAGCGUGGGAGCA
rnacentral:rRNA from 1 species